rnacentral:lncRNA from 1 species
CAUGAUAUCAUAACCUUGGAGAGGAAGGAGCUGUGUCAGUGUGAGAAAUUCAGCUGCCUGCAUCCUGCACUCCCCCAGCCACAAGAGAUAAAGGGAUGCUCAGCCAGCCAGCAGUGCUGGGCUCUGUUUGCAAUAUAUAUUUAUUAUAUAUAUUCUCAUAUCACACAGUGUAAUGCAGUGAUCCCAGGCCAAAACCCUAAUUCAAAACAACCAGAGGGUGGGGAGGUGAAAUUAAAAGAGAGUGGUGGGAAGAGUUUUCAGACACUCAGCAGUGGCCUUGGUGCUGGUUGAGCCCUAGUUUCACCAUGAGGGUCUGUGAUAAGGGACCAAGCACUUUGGAAAUGUCCUACCAAGCUUUCCUGCUUAGUGGAAAAGUUUUCUGCAGUGUUUAUUCUCCACUAUGUAGAGAGGAGGAGACCAAGGGGCGAGGAGAGCCAAAGUAUUUGGGGUUCUCAGGAAUGGGAGAAAGCAAAAGCAAAUGAAUAAACUGCUUUACUUUUAGAUGUGUGAGACAACUUUACAGACAGAAAGCCACAGGCACAGCCCUGAGGAGCAGCAAAACAAAACUUCCCAUUUACCAGAGCAGGAGAAAGAUAAUUUUAAGCAGAAAGGAAGAAACUGAUAGAUGAAAGGGUUGAAGAACUAGGUAAUCUCAUCAGUAAGGCAAAUCCAUACAUUGAAUUGACUGCAUUUAUGCAGUCUGUAGCAGUUUGUAAUAAUGUUUUGUAAUUGUUUUAUUCCUGACAGGUGGCAUGAUUGAAAAGCACGUAAGAGUGGCUGAGUCAGAUCCAUCCCACAUCCCACAGGAGCAGCAGUGGAUUCCUGGUCCUCCCAGCUCCUACCAACUGCCUGGGAGCUUUCUCAGCAGCUUUUUUCACCUGAGUCAUUGCUUUUCACAACAAGUGAUGAUGAAUCCAGCCUUCAUUCAUUUUCUUAAUCAGUAGGAGGACUGUUCAGCAAACAGCUUUGGAAAGAGGAUAUUUCCUCAAGGAGCAGGCAGCAAGGAAGAAGGCAGAAAAAAGAGACAUUAAGAGCAACGUAACGGAAAGAGCAAGACUCUGGGAAUUGAAAAGGUGUGAGGCACGGCUUGGGGUUGAGUGAUUGAUGGGAGGUCUUAAAGCAAAGCCCAGAAUGUGAUGAGUUUCAUUUUCAUAAAAAACACUGCAGUCAUUAUGUGUGGCCAGGAGGCUGCACGGCACUAAAUAUUGCUGAUGUUUAAGAGCUUCUUUUUAAGAGUUCAGGCCUUAAAAUAUCACGUGUGGGCAGCAGCAAGCAGUUAUUUGUGGUGAGUGGUUACCAAUGGACAGAGAGCCCAGCUCAUUGCAACUUUAUUUUCUUCCUUUGUACUGCUCUUCCCCAAAAUGUGCCAAAUAAAACACGUCCUCCCUAACA